rnacentral:rRNA from 1 species
AUACGGGGGGUGCAAGCGUUAAUCGGAAUUACUGGGCGUAAAGCGCGCGUAGGCGGUUUGCUCAGUCGGAUGUGAAAGCCCAGGGCUCAACCUUGGAACUGCAUACGAUACUGGCAAACUAGAGUGUGAGAGAGGAUAGUGGAAUUUCCGGUGUAGCGGUGAAAUGCGUAGAUAUCUGAAGGAACAUCAGUGGCGAAGGCGACUGUCUGGCUCAACACUGACGCUGAGGUGCGAAAGCGUGGGUAGCAAACGGGAUUAGAAACCCUAGUAGUCC